rnacentral:rRNA from 1 species
UGGGGAAUAUUGCACAAUGGGCGAAAGCCUGAUGCAGCAACGCCGCGUGAGUGAUGAAGGCCUUCGGGUUGUAAAGCUCUGUCUUUUGGGACGAUAAUGACGGUACCAAAGGAGGAAGCCACGGCUAACUACGUGCCAGCAGCCGCGGUAAUACGUAGGUGGCAAGCGUUGUCCGGAAUUACUGGGCGUAAAGAAUGCGUAGGUGGAUAUGCAAGUCAGAUGUGAAAUACCCGGGCUCAACUUGGGUGCUGCAUUUGAAACUAUAUAUCUAGAGUGCAGGAGAGGAAAGCGGAAUUCCUAGUGUAGCGGUGAAAUGCGUAGAGAUUAGGAAGAAUACCAGUGGCGAAGGCGGCUUUCUGGACUGUAACUGACACUGAGGCAUGAAAGCGUGGGGAGCAAAC